AAUAGCGUAUAUUAAAGUUGUUGCGGUUAAAAAGCUCGUAGUUGGAUCUCAGUCCAAGCUAAGUGGUCCACUUGUUGGUGGUUACUACUUAGCUGGACAUUUUACCGAUUUGUCUCUUGAUGCUCUUCACCGAGUGUCAUGAGCGAUCGGUACGUUUACUUUGAAAAAAUUAGAGUGCUCAAAGCAGGCGUAUUGCCCGCAUAAUCUUGCAUGGAAUAAUGGAAUAGGAUCUCGGUUCUAUUCUGUUGGUCUUAAGAAUCUGAGGUAAUGAUUAAGAGGGACAGACGGGGGCAUUCGUAUUGCGGCGCUAGAGGUGAAAUUCUUGGACCGUCGCAAGACGAACUACAGCGAAAGCAUUUGCCAAGAAUGUUU
rnacentral:rRNA from 1 species